UGAGGAAUAUUGGACAAUGGGCGCAAGCCUGAUCCAGCCAUGCCGCGUGCAGGAUGACGGUCCUAUGGAUUGUAAACUGCUUUUGUACAGGAAGAAACAGUUCUACGUGUAGAACCUUGACGGUACUGUAAGAAUAAGGAUCGGCUAACUCCGUGCCAGCAGCCGCGGUAAUACGGAGGAUCCAAGCGUUAUCCGGAAUCAUUGGGUUUAAAGGGUCCGUAGGCGGUUAGAUAAGUCAGUGGUGAAAGCCCAUCGCUCAACGGUGGAACGGCCAUUGAUACUGUCUGACUUGAAUUAUUAGGAAGUAACUAGAAUAUGUAGUGUAGCGGUGAAAUGCUUAGAGAUUACAUGGAAUACCAAUUGCGAAGGCAGGUUACUACUAAUGGAUUGACGCUGAUGGACGAAAGCGUGGGUAGCAAACAGGAUUAGAUACCCCCGUAGUCCCUGAGCGGGCUGGCAAGGCGCAU
rnacentral:rRNA from 1 species